rnacentral:misc_RNA from 1 species
CAAUUUCAAUAUGCUUGGUCCGUUAAUAGAACAUAGGGUUAGAAGCAAUAAGAAGAGCAGUUUGAUUAUCACACCAUAAUUGCACAAACAGAGAGGUCUUAAGGCCAACCUCAUAUAAUAAUUGAAGUAUCCACACUAUUUCAUACAUUAAUUGUGCCACAGCUCUGUAUUCCAAUUCAGCACUAGAUCAAGAAACUACACUUUGUUUCUUACUUCUCCAACAAAGACACAAAAUUACCUCCAACAAAGACACAAUAUCCAGUAGUUGAUCUUCUAUCAGCCUUAGAACUUGCCCAGUUUACAUCUUUGCGAAGAGCAAUGGGAAGAU